GUGAUACGAACAGUUACAUGGAAGCAUUAUAUAACCAUUAUUCCGAUUUACUUGAUGAAGCCGUACCGAUAAAUAUCACUCCAACUAUCACUCCUCAAGCCCUCGAGGAGCCAUCAUCUUCUAAAAGGCAGGCACAUAGUAUUUAUCCUGAUUACUUUUUUUAUUUAAAUGUUUGGGACAAGCUGGAGCCUUCAACAUAGAGAACAACUUCUCGAAAAAAGCUUAAGUAUUUUCUUCGACAGCAGAUAGAGGAUCGUAGAGCAAAGAUAUGCGCACUGGAUUGGUGAAAUAAUAAUGAAAGACAAUAUCCGGUGCUUUCAAAAUUAG
rnacentral:lncRNA from 1 species